rnacentral:lncRNA from 1 species
UUUACAUCUCUAAUGCAUUUUAAAAUUUGUUUUGGUUGUAGAUGGCCACAAUACCUUUGCUUUAUUUUUAUGUAGUGUGGAGGAUCUAACCCAGGGCUCACAUGGGCCAGGCAAGUGCUCUACCACUUAGCCACAACCCCAGUCUUUCUAAUGCAUUUUGAAUAAUGACUAACAUGGCAUUUGAACAGAACUCUGAUUGGUGGUCUUCAGGGGCCUCUUGGAGUCUUUGUUAUUAUCUUUCAAAUUUCGAGGAAACAUUCUACAAGUUUUCUUAAAACUCAGAAAGUUCUUUUAUGAGUCUCUGUAAUUGUUCAAAAUUAAAGGUUUAAACUUAGAGUAACUUCUACAUUAUCCACCAAGAAUGAAGUAGACAUUUGCCCACAAACACAAUCAAGAUCAUCUGGCUUUGAAACUUCAGCUGUCUUCACGAACUCAGUAAUGGAUCAGAGGGAGAUUCAAGUGAUCCACCUGUCCACUGUAUCAUCCCUACUGUAGAUGGGCCUGGAGCUGUCUUGGGAUCAAUGGACACCACUGUUAGAAAAAUACAAGGCCUGGCAUUGCUGUAUGGAGGCAGGGAUUGGCAGCCUAUUAUGCAUGUGGGAUUAAAUAAGACUCAGUUUAGUUUGACCCUGGGUUUGUAAAUCACUGGAUAAAUUAUUGUGUUAGCUAUAGAUUAUUAGCCUUCAUAUGGGCAGGUAGGAAUUGAGACUAUAUGUCUAUAGAGUUCCUUUUUAUCCGUUAUUUAAUAGGUAGAAUACAUAUGCAAAUAAGUCAUGGAAAAGUGAAGUUGAUUUACAUUGU